GCCAAUGUGGGGUAGUGGUUUGAGCAUUGAACUGCAAUUCUGGAGAUCAGGGUUUGAUUCCCUCCUUGGCC